AUCUUAAUAGGGCAAAACUACUGAAAAGUAGUGACGCAAAGCUAUAGGGACUAAUUCCUAAGGGGAAGUCAGCCAGUUGCAGCA
rnacentral:ncRNA from 1 species